GAAAGACCUUCACAGCUAUCUGCAGCAGAGAGAAAGAGGCAGAGCCCAGUACAAGAUGACACUGAGGAGAUCACUUGCUCUGGGGAGAAAAGCUAUGUUGUGAAAAGCCCUGUGGAUAGGCCCACAUGGUGUAGAACUGAGGCCUCCAGCCAACAGCCAUGUGAAUGUGCCAUUUUGGAAACAGAUCCUCUGGUCCCAGUCGAGCUUCAGAUGACUGCAACCUCAGGAGAGACCAUGAGCCAGAAGCACCCAGCCAAGCUGUCUCCAGAUUCCAGAACUUCAGAAACUGUGUGAGAUCAUAAAUGUCUGUUGUUUUAAGCUGCUAAGUUUGGGGAAAUUUGUUAUGCAGCAACAGAAAACUCAUUCAAAAGGUAGGCAAACUUUACAGGCAGCCAGGCACGCAGGACCAAACUACUGUAUUUCCUUCAUCUCAUGCUGUAUACUCAGUAAAAUCACAUAGCUUGGAACAAUGCUAUAUAUAAA
rnacentral:lncRNA from 1 species